GCCUGCGGAGGAAGCACCGGGACCAUCAGGGUGACACAGUCCAUCAAGGGAAGCACAGUCAGGCGGCAGAGGAGAUGGCGACAUAUUGGCCUCUCAUAAUCGGCAGAAUUUGCCAGAAUUUGCUGAUGCCGAUAUUUCAUUUUAGAGCUUUCAUCGGCCGAUACCGAUGACAUGCCGAUAAUAUUGUGCAUCCCUAGUUCCUCUAACUAAAGAUGGAUGUACUUACUUACUUAUUUACACCUACUGCUCCUUUUUCAUGGAGCAUAGGCUGUUUCCAUGUCAGCCUACUCUGCUUGAUGUCCAUUUCGAGGUCCCUGCGCCAGGUGUUCUUAGGCUGGCCUCUUGUCCUUGGCUUCCAUCUAAGGGCCUGCCUGGUGGCACUGGUGUGUGGCCGAUCCAUCCCCAUCUUCUUCUCUUGAUCUCCUCUUCCACAGGUUGUUGGCCUGGUAUCUGGCCAGAGGAUGUUCAAGAUCCACCUCAGGCAGCUGUUGAUGAACGUUUGUACUUACAUCAUUGUGGUCUUGGUUGUCCUCCACAUCUCUGAUCCAUAGAGUAGUAUAAACUAAUCCUUAUCAACUACUUAAUAAUACAUAAAUAUGAUGUCUGAUGUGUGAUAUAAUAAUAUUCUGAUAAUACACACAAUGCUGCAAUCACCCUUGCCUCUGUUUGCUCUACUGUGUCACAGUGCCACCUCCUGACAGCUCUCACCACCCUGAAACUUUACCUCAACACAACACCAGCGGUGCUUUGGCACCACAGAAAUUUGAUUUCUAAAACUAUUACCCCUGAUGUAUUUUGACAUACAGUAGAUCUCUGUUGAAAGAAAAAUGUAGUUUGUUCAUCUUUAUCCUUGACCUUUGCUGGUUCCUCUGAACUGUCACAUAUGUUUACUAAUGUAAAAAGUACUGUUCUAGGUUUUACAAAGUUAUCCAGAUAACUUAGUGUACCUGCUUGUUGAAACACAGUGACAUACUAUAUGUAGUUGUUUUGGAAGCACUUUAUCUACUAGAAUUAUUAUAUACAUUAUAACACCUGCUAAUAUGUCAAUAUUUCAGAAGCUUUUCAUUAACCCAACAGCACUGAGGGAAAAAGAUCUCACAGAGCACACUUUCAUUUUUAAUGCCUGAUGUUUUUUUUUUUUUUUAUCGAAUUCUACACCAAAUCAGUCAAGUUGCAGAAUAGUGAGCAGAUGAUGAGCUUCCUGUGAGUGUGAGGAGCUUCCCAAACCCACCAGCUGAGAAGAAGCAGAGGGUGACAGCUCACUAUGCACUGCUUCCUGAGAUGAUCAGGUGGCUGACGCCCACUCUCAGGUGCCCCAAAGAGACAAGAGGAGGCCCGCCCAAUGAAAUCCAAAACAAGCACUGUAAGAAACAAUUGAAAAUGGAGCACAAAAUCCAUCCUGUGUGACAUCACUCUGUGCCAGCCAGAAGAUCCAGGACCUGGUCCAUCCACAGGAGACAAACCUGGAAUAGCUUCAUCAACAGAAGGGAAUCAUGGGACUGUUACUGGAUGAAGAAAGCAGUAGUAAUGAGGUACUUGUAGUUUAUGAAUAAUUGUGACAGAUGACAUUUUGUGGGGGGCAUAAAUACUGCCAGAGCACUGUAAUUGGAAAAAUAUGGUACUAAACAAGAACAUAAAAACAGUCAGAGGCUGAAUAGAAAAUCUGUUUUAAAAUGCAUUCAGUGCAAGUAAGACUUGAUUCUGAAAUAUCAGCCAAUUUUCUAUGGUUCACAUGAUCAUAAGCACUGAGGUGAGAUGGGUACUGAUACCAGUAUUAGCUACUCGGCUCAUGCCCAGGAACCAGAGGCUGACCCUCUACAAGUCCAAGCUCUUCUCUGUGUGUGCGGUGCGGAAAUUACUAAUCACUUUGCUGUUUCAAAUCAUUUUGAUCAGCUCACUUCAAAGAUUUGUAGUCACUGACUAUGUAGGUUUUUCAUUCAUAACCCAAGCUGUUCAAAUGUACAUCAGUAAGCAGUCGCCUCUCUGUUCAGACAGAUAUGAUGUUACAGUGACUUUUAUGACUGUUUUCAGUUAAGUAGCAAGCUCAGUAUUAGAGCUGCCAUGAUUAGUCAAUUAGUCAAUUAGUUGCCAACU